UACGUAGGGACCGAGCGUUGUCCGGAAUCAUUGGGCGUAAAGAGCGUGUAGGCGGCCACUUAAGUCCUGCGUGAAAUCUUGCGGCUCAACCGCAAGCGGUCGUGGGAAACUGGGUGGCUAGAGUGCGGGAGAGGAGAGUGGAAUUCCUGGUGUAGCGGUGAAAUGCGUAGAUAUCGGAAGGAACACCAGUGGCGAAAGCGGCUUCCUGGUCCAGCACCGACGUCAGGCACGAAAGCGUGGGGAGCAAACAGG
rnacentral:rRNA from 1 species